rnacentral:rRNA from 1 species
GAUGAACGCUGGCGGCGUGCCUAAUACAUGCAAGUCGAGCGAACGGACGAGAAGCUUGCUUCUCUGAUGUUAGCGGCGGACGGGUGAGUAACACGUGGAUAACCUACCUAUAAGACUGGGAUAACUUCGGGAAACCGUAGCUAAUACCGGAUAAUAUUUUGAACCGCAUGGUUCAAAAGUGAAAGACGGUCUUGCUGUCACUUAUAGAUGGAUCCGCGCUGCAUUAGCUAGUUGGUAAGGUAACGGCUUACCAAGGCAACGAUGCAUAGCCGACCUGAGAGGGGGAUCGGCCACACUGGAACUGAGACACGGUCCAGACUCCUACGGGAGGCAGCAGUAGGGAAUCUUCCGCAAUGGGCGAAAGCCUGACGGAGCAACGCCGCGUGAGUGAUGAAGGUCUUCGGAUCGUAAACUCUGUUAUUAGGGAAGAACAUAUGUGUAAGUAACUGUGCACAUCUUGACGGUACCUAAUCAGAAAGCCACGGCUAACUACGUG